ensembl:lncRNA
GAAAAACGCGAUCACGUGACCAAUGAGGCCGCGGGCGCGUUCUAAUUCUAGAAUCAGAACCUACGGACACACUUACAUGUAGGGGUGUGAAAGAGCGCGCGGCGAUAGAAAGUGCAGACUAAAGUUUUCAGUGAAGCCGAACGUUGCAGACGUUUUUCCAUAACUCACGUGCAGAAAUAUCUAAGCAUAAAAAGAGAGAGGAGAGAAAAGGGCUCCUGAGGAGAUCCAGGAUGGAAUGGAAUGAGCAGACUGUGCAGACAAGUACAGAGGACAGUGUAGCAAAGGAGAAGGAGGAAUGUAAGACAGCGGGAGACAUGGGAGAACCAAAGGAAGUGGAAGUCAGCUACGAGUUGGUGGAGGAGGAAGUGCAGUCGGGUUCAGAGGGAGAGCAGCAGCAGGUGCAGAGUGUGCAGACAAGUACAGAGGACAGUGUACCAAAGGAGGAAUGUAAGACAGCGGGAGAAAUGGGAGAACCAAAGGAAGUGGAAGUCAGCUACGAGUCGGUGGAGGAGGAAGUGCAGUCGGGUUCAGAGGGAGAGCAGGUGCAGAGUGUGCAGACAAGUACAGAGGACAGUGUACCGAAGGAGGAAUGUAAGACAGUGGGAGAAAUGGGAGAACCAAAGGAAGUGGAAGUCAGCUACGAGUCAGUGGAGGAGGAAGUGCAGUCGGGUUCAGAGGGAGAUCAGCAGCAGGUGCAGAGUGUGCAGACAAGUACAGAGGACAGUGUGCCAAAGGAGAGGGAGGAAUGUAAGACAGUGGGAGACAUGGGAGAACCAAAGGAAGUGGAAGUCAGCUACGAGUCGUUGAUGGAGGAAGUGCAGUCGGGUUCAGAGGGAGAGCAGGUGCAGAGUGUGCAGACAAGUACAGAGGACAGUGUUCCAAAGGAGAGGGAGGAAUGUAAGACAGUGGGGGACAUGGGAGAACCAAAGGAAGUGGAAGUCAGCUACGAGUCGUUGAUGGAGGAAGUGCAGUCGGGUGCAGUGUGUGCAGACAAGUACAGAGGACAGUGUUCCAAAGGAGAGGGAGGAAUGUAAGACAGUGGGGGACAUGGGAGAACCAAAGGAAGUGGAAGUCAGCUACGAGUCGUUGAUGGAGGAAGUGCAGUCGGGUUCAGUGGGAGAGCAGCAGCAGGUGCAGAGUGUGCAGACAAGUACAGAGGACAGUGUACCAAAGGAGGAAUGUAAGACAGCGGGAGAAAUGGGAGAACCAAAGGAAGUGGAAGUCAGCUACGAGUCAUUGAUGGAGGACGUGCAGUCGGGUUCAGAGGGAGAGCAGGUGCAGAGUGUGCAGACAAGUACAGAGGACAGUGUACCAAAGGAGAUGGAGGAAUGUAAGACGGUGGGAGAAAUGGGAGAACCAAAGGAAGUGGAAAUCAGCUACGAGUCGGUGGAGGAGGAAGUGCAUUCGGGUUCAGAGGGAGAGCAGGUGCAGAGUGUGCAAACAAGUACAGAGGACAGUGUAACAAAGGAGAAGGAGGAAUGUAAGACAGUGGGAGAAAUGGGAGAACCAAAGGAAGUGGAAAUCAGCUACGAGUCGGUGGAGGAGGAAGUGCAGUCGGGUUCAGAGGGAGAGCAGCAGCAGAGUGUGCAGACAAGUACAGAGGACAGUGUACCGAAGGAGGAAUGUAAGACAGUGGGAGACAUGGGAGAACCAAAGGAAGUGGAAGUCAGCUACGAGUCAUUGAUGGAGGACGUGCAGUCGGGUUCAGAGGGAGAGCAGGUGCAGUGUGUGCAGACAAGUACAGAGGACAGCGUACCAAAGGAGAUGGAGGAAUGUAAGACAGUGAGGGACAUGGGAGAACCAAAGAAAGUGGAAAUCAGCUACGAGUCGGUGGAGGAGGAAGUGCAGUCGGGUUCAGUGGGAGAGCAGCAGCAGGUGCAGAGUGUGCAGACAAGUACAGAGGACAGUGUACCAAAGGAGAGGGAGGAAUGUAAGACAGUGGGAGAAAUGGGAGAACCAAAGGAAGUGGAAGUCAGCUAUGAGUCGUUGAUGGAGGAAGUGCAGUCGGGUUCAGAGGGAGAGCAGCAGCAGGUGCAGAGUGUGCAGACAAGUACAGAGGACAGUGUACCAAAGGAGAGGGAGGAAUGUGA